rnacentral:tRNA from 1 species
GUUGCGAAGGCCGAGUGGUUAAGGCGUUGGAAUAGAAAUCUAAUGGGAUCUUCCCGCGGAGGCUCGAAUCCUGCCCGCAACG